rnacentral:tRNA from 1 species
GCUGGGGUGGCUGAAUCAGGUGAAAGCGCCUGACUUAAGAUCAGGUGAACGCAUACCCAUGUGUUCCGCGGGUUCAAAUGUGUCAUCACGGAAAUUCCCGUCCCCAGCG